rnacentral:lncRNA from 1 species
GGUGAGACAGAGUCAUAGCCCCGAGUGGGGCAACACCCCUCUGGUGCGUUUUCCUUUAAGCCAAAGGUAUUCCCUCGCGGCUGUUCCAGGAAGUGCUGCUUUCUCUGUUAGAAAGCGUAAAGAGCCCAAAGCGUUUUAUAAUUGAUUUUAAAAACAGAUUUUUGCAGAAACUUAGAAUAGCUAUAACUUUUUAUAGGAAAGUCCAAAUGGGGUGAUUCUUUUUCCUACCAUUUUAUAAUGACCUCUAAUUUAUUUUAAGAUUUAUUUUAAAAUUUUCCAAACAACUUUUGUUUGCUGUUUUGAUUAUGAGUGUUAAUUCAAAUAUUUUCAAACUAGGAUUUUGAAGGGUGGCUACCUACUCCAAGAUAAUGGGGUACACAUCACCCUCCUAAUACCCCCUGAGGCAAGCAUCCUGAAUCCAUAAUUUGCAUGUGUUGUGUGAUAAUUGUGGUGGUGCUUAUAUUGCGUGAUUCGAGGAUAUGUUGAUAUUAGCAUCACAUGAAAUAAUACUUUACACCUUCAUGAUGUCACUCACAUUAUAACGAUGGUGAAAUAUGGUGAGAAUGUGCUGGUUAUGAGAGGUCGUGGAAUAACCUAGUCACGCGGAACGUGAUAGGUUAUGUCCUGGUCAUGACACGAGCACGGUGAUGCCGGUAAAACUUGGUUAACUCCAGUAUCGGCCUUGAUCGAGUCUUCUCUGUGUCAUACUUCUUAUCGUGCUACCAUAGUUUCCUGGAUAACGAAUUCGGUAUAGUCAGUUGUAGACCUAUUAUCAGUCACAUACCAAGUAGAGGGGCCGGUAUGAAGGUAUCCAUGGCCAUGGAAUAAAUCUAGUCAUCCGGUCACGGGGCAUGGGUGUUUCCGGUCUAGGACAGGAAAGGAAUGGCCCUUCCCAGUGAGCGCGUGGUAUAAAUUUUUGAUCCCAUGCUAGUCGAGGUCAGAGCCUCCCCGCCUUAUGGUUUUGCCUUGGCAGCAUAGUCCGGGUGAUGCCGGGCUUCGCGGAGGAAGAUCGGUGUGUGCUGAUUCUAAGUGUCCGCUUCUAAAAAGCCGUACGCGGGAUUAGCAUAUUGACUAUUCAAAACCGUGGACUAUGGGUCAAGAGUACACCCUCUGCAGAGUCAAAACUAUCCGAGUAGCCGUGUCCUCGGUCAAGGACGUUGUUUGACAAGUCAAGUGUCGGUCCUAGAGUCGAUCUUUGGAGUAUAAAUGGUGAUAAUAAUAAUGGUUGUGGAAAAUCAUAUGAUGAUGUGGUGGAUGAUCAUAUUAUGAUUAUUACUCUGGACUAAUCCCCUAUGAUUAUGUUGUUGGAUAUCCCUGGGACGGUCCUACUUCCUCAAAAUUCAAUAUUUAUUAUUAUUGCUUCUUUUAAGCCCUUUUUGUGGCGUCGCUAAGAUGCCCGACUGUGCCAUGUUUACUUUAUUAUAUAAGCCCUUUAUGUGGUGUCGCUUAGAGAACCGAUCGUGGCACGCAUAUUAUUACUUUUCAACAUUAUCAUCAUUGUUUGUUUAUGAAUCAUUGGUGGAAACAUUGCAUAUUUUCAUGAAUGCAUCCAUGUAUUAAACUUUAAUGGCAAGAUGUUUUGUUAGUGGAAUUUGCAUGCAUCUCACAUGCUUAACUUGUUGUUUUCUUGAUGUUUGCGAGUACAUUCGAAGUACUCACUGGCUUGUCCCUGGCUAUUGUCUUGGCCAGAUUGCGUUUGGAGAGGAGCACGAUGCCGUCAACCCUGGAACCUAGGAGUCGAGGAUAGCAGCCUUGUGUGAUAGGAAUUUAUCCAGGUCAGCUGUUCCUAUGGGAAUGGAGUCCCAUGGGCACUGGAGAUUCCUCAAGUCGCUUCCGCCGUCAACCUCAGACUUUUGUUCAACCCAGUAGACCAUCAUGGUCUUGUAACCCAGAUUUUGUAUUUUUGCUUGGAUAUUCUGUAUCAAGUAAGUGUCUACCAGCUAACAAUAAAUCCUGGGCUGGUAAACACAGAGACAUGUUUUUUGGAAAUUAUUUUUUGAAAAACACGUUGCUACAAGCUUGGUAUCAGAGCCAGGCAGACCAUUGGCUAAACCUAUGUUAGCCAGGUCGCUAUCCCUAAACCGGAUAUUUAUAUAUCCACCCGAAGCCUAGCCAACCCAAUAGCCAACCUCAAUGGCCAUUCGACACCUUUUUGGCAGUCGGUUCCUAACCUGUCAGCUCAGCCCUUAAGCUAUGCGUCUAUGACCGACGCCGGAGUUGUCGCAUCGCCUAGCGUGCGAUGAAAGACUCCUUAGCCUAUAUAGGAAGGCCCUGCCUCAACCCAGCAACCCGCAACUUUGAGACCACUACCCUAGUAAACCCCAUUUGCUUCCAAGAUGCCUGGCAACAUUCCUUGCAAUGAGACCUCCGUGUCCGAGCCUGGAGACUUUGUUGUCAUCCUCGCCAACAUGAGCCACCAUGUUUUUGGCAUAGAAGAACCUCCAGUAUAUAUUGUGCAUGAGGAGCCUACGAGUGAUGCUAUUCGUUACUUUUGGGCCUCGGUGCACAUGUAUGGAGGAAAUCCCUCGUUGUAGUGCCCUCGCCAUUUCACUGGUAGAGCAGCCACCAACGAAGCCCAAGAUCGUAAGCUUGCAACCCGUGAAGCUAUAGUCCAGUUGCGACAUCUGUCGCCAUGGAUGAACACCCAACCGUUCUACUAUUAUCCUGGUCGUGAAGGCUAUGGUAGUCUGACCCGAGUUGCCAGCGAAGACCUUGCGACAGACCCUGCCCUGGUGCAAGUUGUGAGCUAUUUGAGAGCGCAUGAGGUACUCAUCGAUCAGAUCACCUCCGACUUGGUCAUGAGCCGCGCGCCAACUGCUCGCCGGACCCGGGCAAGCUAUGAAGCCGCAACUACCUCCAACAACCAACACGUUUUUGUUGGAAGACCUGUUGGACCUUUAAGGUUUGCCCCGCCAGCCAUGACCCCAGCAGAGCUUCACCGCAGUCUGGAUGCCUUUUGCAAUGAAGCUGUGCCAAGAGCGCGUCGUCCGAGACAUCGUCGCCACCGCAACCCUGCAGCCCCACCCCAUGGCCAUGUUGACUCAGGAGCCUCGGCGAACGGAGGAGCCUUAAUGGCUACUGAGCCCGACAGCUCAGAGCCCAAUGAAGGCAGAGCGAGUCCGUCAGACUAGCUGUCAAGCCCUAAUAACCGCGUUACCAUGUAACGUUGUAUUCGCGUGUUUGUAAUAGAACGAUUUUUAAUGAAAUUGCAGGAUGCCUGCACCUCUUGUUUCUAUAAGUAAGAUUUGCGUAGACUAGCCCGCGUGGCCUUGAAGUAAAAUUUUGGGCGUGACCACCUAGCCACCAAGCCAGCUACCCGAGUGAGGUAUCACUUUAGAGUUGAUACCCGAGUUUUCACCCCGAUGAACCAGGCCACCCCAAUAUCAUAUUGUGUGUGCCCCUAAGCCAAAUACCUAGUAAGACCACCCAUGACCGCUCCUAGCAAUUCUCACCAAGUGCGCUGCCCCGAGCCACACCCCAUGAGUAUCCACUAAGACUCAUCCGAAAAUUUUGGAUGCAACCCCACAAAGGUAACCGUGUUGCCCCACAUCCCAGUUUAGAGUAGCUCUGGUUUGCACAUCCCUUGCCUUUCAGGUCAUCACUAAGGGUGUUUACCCAUCAACGGGUGGAACAAGUCCACACGCAGGCUAAUGGAAAAUUUUCAUAUUUUUCUUUGGUAGUCCAUUGUUGUCAGACCAAAGGGGACAUGUUAUCCAAGACUCCUUAUAGUAGAAGUGAAAUAUGUUUUCCCUGACCGGGACUAUUUUUCUCGGAAACCCAUGCCUGUAGCCCGUUGACCGUCCUCGGAGUGUACGUUAGUCCAGUAGUAUGUUUUCCUAAUACCAUGUGAAUAGUGGUGUAUCAUUUGAUUGCACUAUCUGCACUUGCAUACGAGUGAUUGUGUACCAUGUUACUUUCUUGUUUGCACGUGCAUUUGACUCACCAUGCCCACUGUUUUUCUGAGUGAAUUAUUUUCUGUCCUAAGCAAAUCUCGGGGACGAGGUUUAUUCUUAAGGGGGGUAGUUCUGUCAGACACCAAAAUUUUGAAAAUAUUUUUCUGAAAUAAAAUUUUUCCUAGAGUAAACUUUUUAGAAAAUGAAUUGCUUCAUGGCUAUUUCCGAAGCCUCUUUCCAAAAAAAUUCAUUUCAAGUGGCCUUUCAAAUUUUCUUUUCAUGCUUGAGCCCUUACAUGAGACCAUAUGAAGUAGUUAUUUUCUUAGAAGGGAAUAUUAUUUUGGCUAUGUCCAUUUAAUAUUUGAAUAUCUGGAUUUUUAAUUAAGUUUUGAAACACUUCUUUUCCUUUAUAAAGAUAUUUUCCCUAUGAGAAUAGUUUUGAAAAUUUAUAUUGGCAUCUAAAUACUUAUAUAAAAGAAUUUCCUUCUUCUGGUAAAUUGUUGGGAUAUUUUUAUUUUAACAUUCUUACCAAGAUUUCUUUUACUAUAAACAGAUUUAUAUUUCUUAAGGCUGAUUUGCACUGCAACCUUGUGACAACUUCUUCUGAAAAUUCUAUAAAAAUUUGUAGGUGGCCAGUGAUGUUUCUAGGUCACAUUUAUGCAAAAACCUACUCAAGUGUUUUGAAUAUUUGAAGCACAAUAACUAGGUUUCUAAUAUGGUUCAGAAUUGAGUUUGUACUACAACCCCUAGAAAUAUUCUUUCAUAAAUUCCAUAAAAAAUUGGGGAUGUCAAGUAUAGCAUAAGAUUCAUUUUUAUGCAAAAAUCCCACUAUGUGGUAUGUAAAAUUUGUGUACAACCAUUUUUCUGAUCUGGCCCAGUUUGGUGCUUUACACUGCAACCCUAUUUUUCCUUGCUCGAAUUGCUUUGAAAUUUUGCAUGCUUGUUUGCAACCCCACCAAAACCUUAAAUCUAGGAUUUGAGCCCCAUUGGAUGAAAAUAGAGGCAUGUGAUAAAAACCCCAAAUUUUUGUCCAGUAUGGUGAUUUUUAAAAUAUUGCAUUGUCUAGUUUUGAUUUUUGCCAAACUAACCUCACCACCAUUGCUAGCACCUAGAGAGACCUUGAUCUAGAAAGUUUGGAGGGCAUCAAAGACCAUUUAGAGCCCCUGGCAUUUCAUCAAACACCGUGGAGCAUGACCAGAUUUGACAUGAAUUUAUGUUUGCACUAUGAAGUUGAUGAUCCGACCCAAGCAUAUUGUCCAACAGUUAUGCCUUAGUCUCAAGCCUACCCCUUUGAGUUUGCACUAGCUUGGAGCCCAUUCUUCAUGCGCAAGCAUUUUGUCUAGCAGGUGCCGUGCGUUCUCUGGUCAUGGCCAGAGCGCACGUUUUGCACGCGCUGCUACCGAGCCGUCGCGUCCCCGUGCCCCUGCCCUAUGGACCAAAUACAGAGCCGCGUCAACCCUCCCUCUCCCUCGACCGUUGGUCGCCGCUCGUGUGCGUGGAGGGCCGCAGCAGCGCGCCAGCCGUGGCGGCUAGCCGGCGUCAGCACUGUCGCAGCGGUGAACGGCACCGCCCGAGCCCCUCCAGCGCGCCAGGUGUUGCGGUCCUUCCCCCCUGCAUGAGCUGCUCGCUGCCCUGACGCCCUGCCGCGGCCGCUGCGCUCCUGAAGCCUUGUCCCCGACGAUCUUUUCCAGAGGCCGCCGGGGAACCGACCGUUGCGGGCUAUAAAAGAACCCCCCGAGCUCUCUGAGCCUCGCAGCAGCCUCCCCCUGAGCCGUAUCUCCCUCCCCCUCACCUCAUUUUAGCCGGAACCGCUCCCCUGCUCCCGUGCGACAACAUCGUCGCCUUUGGCCUCCGGCCAAAUUCCAGUAGCCCUGAACCCUUGCCGCCUUAUCUUGGCCACUGCUAGAGUCCCCUCCUGCCCCUGAACCCAUUCCCGAUGCUAUGGUCGAGCCAUGGCAGCGGUAGGCCAAGGAUAUCGCCGUUGGAUCUCUCUGUCCCCAUGGCGAGGAGAGGGUUCACAGGUGACCUCCAGCGCCGCCCUUGCCCUCCAGAGGAUGCGGCUCUCCCUCGCGAUCCUGCCGGUGUGCUUAGCACCGCAAGCGAUGUCCCCUAGCGCCGGUGAGCCUCGCCGGAGUGCCUCUGUUGCCUGCCCAAGCACACACAGGAGGAGGGAGAAGAACCUGACAGGCGGGCCCCACCUGUCGGUGAUAGAGAGCCAUAGCCCCAAGUGGCGCAACCCCCCUGGUUCGUUUUCUUUUAAGCAAAGCGUAUUCCCUCGUGACUGUUGCAGUAAGUGCGCUUUCUAUGAUAGAAAGCAUAAAGAGCCGGAAGCGUUUUCGUUUAUAAUUGAAUUUAAAAACGGAUUUUUGCAGAAACUUAGAAUAGCUAUAACUCUUUAUAGGAAAGUCCAAAUGGGCUGAUUCUUUUUCCUACCAUUUCCGAGGAAGAUGGAGCACGACGCCUCAGCAUCAGAGCAGUAGGAGUGGCAAGGAGUGAGGCCCACUCAGAAGGAGUCUCAUAACGACUGCCACACGAAGUGCCUCGCGGCACCGAAGAGCUAGCUGGAAUCUCAAAUCCACGUGGUGGUGGAACUGGUGGUGCAUAUGGAGGUGAAACAGAAGACUGGGGUGGGGGUGGCACUGUAGUUGCGAUAACAAGUGCCGCCCGAAGACGGGAUAAAUCCUCAGCCAGGGAUACAAUCCUACGAUAGCUGCCGCUCACAUAGCAAUACACCCCGAUUCAACGAACCGGAUUACCAGUGUUUCCAACCCAGAGAUCAUGUCUUCUUCAAACACUCAACAACUUGGAGCAGAACUGAGCUGACUUUAUUGAUAGCAUAAGGUUACAAGUACAUAUCUUACAAUGAUAGCGAGACCAAAGGCACCCUUGGUGCUGCAACAGUAUCUACAUUAUAGAUGAAACAUAGUGGGGCCUCGAAACUAGUAAGUGCUUCUAUGGCAUAGCAGAACAUAGCAGCAACUCCAUACAUAGGGACACUUGUGUGGGCACUUCCUAGUACGGACCAUCAAGACCUCUGUCCUUGGCUUCUCCUGCAUCUGGCAUGAUACGCCAGGUGAGUACUUGGAAUGUACUCGCAAGCUCACAAUAACAAAGUAAUGCAACAAACAAUAACAUGGCAACAAAUCAUAAAUAAUACCACUGGUUAUACUGAUUAUCAACUUACUCAUGCCCGGGGUGGUCUCACAACCACCGAGAUACUCAUUAAGCAUCUCCACUCAGUUGAAGAGUUCUUCCAUCAUUACUAACAUUAACAUGGUUGACCGUCUACUGAGGUCUGGUCGGGCUGUCCAUUACUAUGGACACGGCUAUUCGAAUAGGUUUGACACUCUGAAGAGGUUGCACUCUUUACCCACAUUAUGGAGCACUGACCUCGCAAUCCUAUUUGGGUCGACUAGCAUUACUCCAACAGGACUUGCCUGGCCCGUGACUCUCUCAUCAUACCCCCGACAAUCACUCUCCCCCGGAGUCUUGCCCUAGGUGGCCCUGUGUCCUCAUGACACCUGCCACCAUCGUGGCCAAACUAAACUGUCCCAACUAGGGACGGGCCCAACUAUUCCCAACUGGGCUCACAGGGUUAUCACCGCCUACCGGGCCAAGGUAGCACGCGUGCAUAACCCUCCCUCUUUGGAGGUACCGGUGAAAGAUCACUCGAUCAGCUCAAGUCACAGCCGUCCCAUAUCGGCAAGAUGUGGUUGUACGGUUAGGCCCGGACAGGUGACUCAAGAUCAACCACUAGGAUAUUAUGAACAUAGUGAUUUAUAACAGUGACCACAUAUUUUUAUUUGAUGAUUUAUUAGACAUUUAUUUUAUAGCAAAAUAAGUAAGCAUAAUGGAUGAAAAUGUAUGUUAUGCUAUGCAAUAGUACACCACAUGGAUAUAAUGGCUUACAUUGAUUAAUGGGCUGGUUCAAACACUCCUGGUCUUCAAAGUUUCCUUAUGAAAUAUAUAUGAAAUAGCAAAAGAAAGGAAAAAGUUAUAUAACACCUUUUUGUAAAUCAGAAAUUCUAUGAGUGUAAGAAAAAUACCAAACUUUACCAGAGAAUAGAGGGGGUCAGUACCAACUCAAUGCAAAAAGAAUCAAGUGAUUUGGACUUAAGAAUCUAAAGAUACAAAGGUCAAAGAUGCUGGUCAAAUCUGAAAUUAAAUAAAAAGAAAAAGAACAUGGCAGAGGCCACGUCGAAGGCGUAAAGUGGAGGGGGCGCCUCCACUUACUGCUUCGGCCGCGGGCCUUAGCCACUGGCCGGUGGGGCCUGCCUCUUUUAAACAGAGAGAGGGGGAAGGGGACAGGGACGCGGCGGCUCUUCGGCGACGGUCGCCGACGCUAGAGACGACGAGGAGGCCUGUGACUAGGGGGAAUGGAAUGCCUGGUCUACGACGAACACGCACGUACCCGCAGCUCAACGAGAGGUGGACAAAUGGCGUCUGCCCCUUCUUCUCCGGCGGCGGCCGCUUCGGGUGGUCGUCGGAGACGGUGGUUCCUGUGGCAAUAGGCUCGGGCGAGGGGUCGAGGAGCACCAGGGGGAAAGCCUGAGCUUGAUGGAGAGGUGCAGAGGGCUCUGGGGAGGGUCGUUGGGGCUGGCGACGGUGGGGCUGCAAGCGGAGGAGCUCCGAUGAUGAUUCGAGGCCAGAGGGCCUCUUGUCCUUGGCUCACUCUUGGGGGGGGGGCGAUUGGAGGCUGCAGGAGGGGGAUGAAGAGCUCGAAGGGGUCAGGGCGACCUUUCAAUAGGCAGGCGACGAGCGCGUCCGAUCUCUCCUGAAGCGGCGAGGAUAAGCUCGGCCACUAGAGCAGGGGGUGAGCUGGCCAUCACGGAGUGACCUGAGGUGACGGAGGAGGCCUAAGGGUUGACGGGACGUAUCCUACGCCAUUAAUGGCUCGUGAACACCCACAGUGGAUGGAGCCGACUGUUCAAUCCGUGGAGGAGCUUGGCAGGGAGCAGCGGCGACCUUCUCCGGCGACCCAGGGCCUUCCGAAGGUGCCACGCGGCUGCCAGGGACGCCCUCGACACCACGGACAAGGAGGGGCAGCGAUUGACGGCACAAACAACUUGGCUGUCACAGGGGGCUGCACAACGCGCGCGCUCUGGCGUGCCAGUACCAUGGUCACCACGGUUACGGCUGCCACAAGGCCACACAAUCCCGGGGACCUUGUCCAUUGUGUCGACCUCACUCUUACCAGUCACUAUCCAUCAUUAGUUUGACCAGUCACUCACUCCUGCAAAGUGGAACAUCAACUACAGCAUCUGCCUGCAAACUUGGGGCGGAUCUAGAGCUCAAAUGGGUUAGGGUUAGGGCAAGCUAGCAUGUCUGCGUUAAUCAACAUCGGAAAGACUACAGACUGGCAAAGUUCCUUUGUAAAUCAUCUUUCUGGUCCAAAAUGCAAAUGAGCUCAUGGCAUUCACAUGCAAGCCUCGCUAAUGGUGAAACUUGUUGGAGGAGUGUUAUUUAGUGGUGCACACAUGUCCAAAAAAUUUCAAAUCAUUGGUGCACCCCUAGCUAGCACUUCCUUCACAAAGGUUUAGUUUUAAUAGAAACUUAAUAGAGUUUUCCUGCUCAAAACUUGUACUGGACAAUCAGAUGUUUUUACAUAUUUGAACUAAAUAUGAUCCCUUGGAGCUAAGGGAAUUUAUUGGAAAUUUUCUAAAACAGGAAAAUUAGGGUUGCUUCACAAAGUGACAAUUCUGGUCAGAAAGAAAUAAUUUUUCUAGCCAAAAUUUUACAUUGGGCAAUGAAAUGUUUUUGAAGAUUUCGAAAUCAUAUGAUACUGAGAACAUGUGGCAAAUGUGGUGGGGUAAAUAGCUUGUCCCAACUAUAGGUUGCUUCACAACCCAUGGUGAUGCCAUAAUUUCCCCAAAAUAGAAAAAGAGUUAUUUGAAAGAUUUAAUCAUUGCAAAUUAUUCCAAGAAAGGUUUUGGCAAGAGACAAAAGGUUUCGGUUGCUUGUGACAAGAAAUCAGAGACUCACAAUUCAACUUGCUUGAGAAAAUUUGAAAAUCCAUCAAUUUGCAAGUGAAACUCCAAAAUAUUUGAAAAGAAAAAGUUUGAAAAAAAUCAGGGUGUUACACAUCAACCCCGGAACCUAGGAGUCGAGGAUAGCAGCCUUGUGAGAUAGGAAUUUAUCCAGGUCAGCUGUUCCUGUGGGAAUUUAGUCCCAUGGGCACUCGAGAUUCCUCGGGUCGCUUCCGCCGCCAACAUCAGACUUUUGUUCAACCCAGUAGACCUUCAUAGUCUUGUAAUCCAUAUUUUGUAUUUUUGCUUGGAUAUUCUGUAUCAAGUAAGUGUCUACCAGCUUACAACAAAUCCUGGGGCUGGUAAACAUAGAGACAUGUAUUCUGGAAAUUAUUUUCUGAAAAACACGUCGCUACACACGUGGCGACACUUCAUAAACAACAUACCAACCUUCCAGAUUCUUAUCAGUUUGGCAUGUCCACGGUAGAUAGAAAACUUGGGUCACCUGUUGAGUCGUAAUAUAGACAUCAGGAACAUCUAAAUGGGUGUUUGGAUUGAUUUUGACUAGUCCUAUAUGUUCAUGAGUCCUUCUAGUCUCCUUCGGUUGAAACCAAUAACAUUUGAAGACUACGACGUUCGGUGGGUUUUCACCAUAGAAUUGAAGUUCAUAAAUUGCUUCAACUCUUCCAUAAUACUUGAUACCACUUCGCCGAUAGCAGAGACACCACAAUUUGUAGAUUUCCGGUCGGGCCUAGAUAGCUCUUUGCCAAAGGUACGAAAGAGAUACCCGUUGAUGUUGUAUUUCUCAAAUGAAGGGACCUUAUAGUCAAAACCAUUAGCGGCUUGUCUCAAUUCGGCGUCCAUAGACUCGGAAUUAGCAUACAAGUUUAAUACGAAACAAUUUUUGCAUUAGCCGAAAGUUAGACCAAGAAAUGAAAUGGCCCAUUAUUUAUAAUUACCAUUUGUUUGAACCAAGAGAUGAAACCGGGAUAGCCGCCUCUAUGCUUUGCCAGGAGCUCAUACUCUUCGACGAAAUCAUUUUGGAUCACCGCUCCAUCCGAGAAUUUGGCGACGUAUCGGAUGUAUGAAAUAUCUGGGAAUAAGAGCAGUUCAAAGGAAUUAGAAGUUACGGAAAAAUGUGCCGAGAACGUACUCGAUGUACGGUCGCACUUCUGUUAGGUUGUUGAAGAUAUACAACGAAAUGUUUUUCCAUUUUUGGCUUCGUAGUGUACUGUCACAAAGUUAGUCAGCUCCUCAGUAAUGAAUGCAUCAGCCAUCGAUGCUUCAAUUCUACGCUUAUUUUUACAUUUAGCCCGAAGGGUCUUCUGUAUCCUCUCAGUUGCAUAGCACCAACAAUUUUGCUGGGGCCCACCCAAUCUUGUCUCGAUCGGUAGAUGUAAAAUCAAUUACUGCACCGGAUUAAAGAAGCCCAGCGGAAACAUCUUCUAUAACUUCCACAACAAGUCCGGUGCAAACUCCUCCAUGUCAUGUACCACGCCAUGCGACAAUUCUUUCGCACAAAGAACACGGAAGGAAUAGCUCAUCUCCGCCAGUACUAGCCAUUUAUCCUCACGAAUAAAGCCACAUAACAUCACCCACAUUACCCGCUCAAGCCAUAUGUGCCAAUCAUGACUCUUGAGACCAAAGAUUUUUAAUUUUUUAAGACUCGCUCCCCUCUUUAGAUUUAGUGCAUACCCAUCGGGAAAGAUCAAGUGCAUUUUGACCCACAAGAUAAUUUCCCUCAUAGCUAGCCUUCAAAGAUUGGACCACGCCUUUGGCUUCGACCACUUCUACUUUCCUUUACCUUCUCGCAUGUUUUGUAACGGUCUGUGACAUAGUGUCUCUUGAUCGACUCUAGCCUUAGAAUUAUCCUUUGUCUUCCCAUCUAUGUCGAACAAUGUACCAAAAAUAGCCUCUCCGAUAUUCUUUUCAGUGUGCAUCAUGUCGAUAAUGUGUGGAAGAAAGAGGUCUUUGAAGUAAGGCAGAUCCCACAUGCAUGGCUUGUGAGUCCAGGCGUGUUUUGAAUUAUACCCCUUGAAAUACCCUGGACGCUCUGGAUCACGCUUGAGGGAGUUUAACUGAUCCAGGAUCUGUUAGCCUAUCAACGCAGGUGGUGCCAAGUUUUUGACAACUUUACCUUUGGCAAAGUUCUCCUUGUCUUUUCUGAACUGAUGGUCAGGAUCCAGGAACUAUCUAUGCAAGUCAAAGCAAGAAUACUUCCAACCCUCCUGCAACCAAUGAAACUGAAGAGCUGCCUUGCAUGUGGGGCACGGGAAACUUCCAUGAACACACCAUCCAAAGAAUAGCGCAUACGUCAGCAAGUCAUGCAUAGAGUACAUGUACCACACAUGCAUUUUGAAAUUUUCUUUAAUAGCGGCAUCGUAUGUCCUGACCCCUUAUCCCAAGCUUCUUUUAAUUCAUCCUUAAGAGGUUGCAUGUACACAUUCAUAUUCUUCCCCGAAUAAUUGGGACCUGGAAUGAUCAACGUCAGAAAUAUGUUCUUUCUUUGCAUAAUCUGCCCGGGGGGGGGAUUGAGUGGAAAGACAAAUACAGGCCAACUACUGUAUUGGGUUGCCGUCAUGCCGAAGGGAUUAAAACCAUCCGUGGCGAUGUAGAAUCGAGGAUUCCUUGGAUCUGCCGCUUUAUCCUGAUGCAAUCCAUCGAAAUGUUUCCAUGCUUCCCCAUCAGAUGUGUGUACCGCCAUCUUAUUCCCAUCCACAUCUAGUUCGGUUCCUUUGCCCAUUUUGUGCCAUGUCAUCUGUCUGGUUGUCUCUUCGACCAUGAAAAGACGUUGAAGCCUUGGUAUGAUUGGCAUAUACCGAAGAACACUAACUACGAUUUUGGUCUUCCUCUUCUCACCCAUACCGUUGUCUACCACAAGAUACCUACAAGACUCGCAUUUGGGCCAAUAGUCCAAGUGUGCAUUCUCCUUACUAACUAAGACACAUCCUUUCUCCCAUGCAGCUAUUUUCUCAUAGGGCAUCUGAAGUACACGAAGUAUUUUGUCCGACUGCUACAGGUUUGCAGGCAUGACAUGGCCUUUGGGUAGAAAGCGUCCAAAUAGUGGCAUCAUCGCGUUGUAGCAAUCUCUUCCCAAGUUGAACUGGGCCUUCAGAGCCAUUACUUGUGCAAUGGCAUCCAACUAACAAAGCUCAGUGUGCUCGUGGAGAGGAUGUUUUGAAGACUCCAACAUUUCAUGGAAGGCCUUUGCAGAUUCCUCCAUCUCAUCUUCCAAAUCCCGAGCAUCAUCAAAGUCUUGCACCAUGUCUUCGAUCCCGGUACCAUGCUCGUCGGUGGAACAACGAACCACCUCAGCUCUCACGCGUUGUAUAGACUCACCAUGAAAUGUCCAAACCGUAUAAUUAGGCUUAAAACCCCUUCUCUGCAGGUGUUUAAUCAUUACAGCCUCUGUCCUGUUUUUAUAGUAGUCGCAUUUAGGACAAGGGCCUAGUUUGUUUCUUGGCCAUUUGCAAAUGCGGCUUUCACAAACUCCUUGGUUUUUAGAAACCAUUCUUUUGUCAUCUCUUUUCUAACUAGGGUAACCGGUGUACAUCCACGCACGAUCACUCAUCUUGCCUAGUUACUAAACACACAAGAAAUAUAUUUAUAUAUAAUUCAGCAUAUAUAUUCAUCAGUUAAUCAAGUUCGCCACUUUUAUUACGUUCAUGCAACCUACACGCUAAUAGGUAAAGAUAGGUCCUAAUCCCACCCGAGUAUGUGUAGAUUGGGUUCGUUUUCCCAUGAUGUGUUCCAGAUCCAACACAAAAUUUUGAUAGCACCUCCCCAUUGUUCUCCUGAUACACGUCUCCGCAAUAAACAGAGAGGAUGUGUAUCCGGAGAACAACAGGGAGGCACUGACGAAAUUAUGCAUGGGAUACGGAACAAAGCAUAUGGGAAAAUGAACCCAAUCUACACAUAAUCGGGCUGUCCAUGGAUAACGUUGGACAAUUCAGAAGAAUCAUGGUUAUAAAUAUAUGCAAAUGCAUGCAUAUUUAUAACUGUAACCCUUUCGAACGAGAGACGCAUACUCGUCACGCAUACUGAUAAAUUAAUUUACCUAUAUCUAGCAAGUUUAUCCGAACACCGACAUAGAGCAAAUGAAGGGGCGAGGAGGAGAUGAUAUUUGUAAUCACCAAUGAAUGCAGGGUCGGAGCUCGUAGAAUGCACAGGGAGGUCUUCGCACAGCAAACCUCAUAGCGAUGAAACAAGUGUCACAUGUAAAUCCACCCGAUCAACACAAAUAUUUUGUGUUCACCGAUAAAAUCGAAAAAUAUAUGACCUAACACAAAUAUAUGACCUAAAAAAUGAGCCUAAAAGGUUUCACGCUUUUUGCACAGGCAAAUCCAUAAAAGGCGACCCUUGCAAAUGGUACUUAAGUGCUAGUUGGAAGAGGGACAAAAAUUGUGUGAUGGUAAUAACUUUUUUUGUGAUUUCUACUCUUAUUCCUUCAUAUUGUUUGUCAUGAUAAUAAACUUCAGAUUUUGUGCCUUUUUUUGCUGCAGGUUGCGAAGCAUCAAACUGAGCACAUUUGUAGUUCAACGAGUGGAAAAGUGACAAGUAUGACAACUCAAUCUUGGGUGACUGAUAGGGCAGCGGCUAUGUUGAAGAAAGAUCCAACCAUUGGUGUUGUGAAGAUAAUGAGCAGCCCAUAUAUUAUUAUGUGGGAUAUGUGGGUUUAGUGGGACACCCACAUAAUUAACUAUUUUUAACACGAGUGAAAUAUUCCCACAAGACAUAAUGUUUCAGACUGUACUGUUAUGCAGGUUCCUCUAGAUUCAUACGGAGUGCAGGCGCAUAAUUCUUGUGCCUUGAGAAGACAAAGAAUACUCUCUGUAACUCUUGCCAUUAGCAUAGCUCAGUGCUUUGGUUUUGAGGGAAGCCAAUUUUGCAGGUUGCGCCUCAAAUUGGCUUGCUAGGGGCACAGUUGACUUGAUCACACUCACGCAUGCAAGAUGCAAUCAGGAGCUACCCAUCAAAUAAUUGUCCUAGUGAACAUCGAUCGUUGAUGGGGAUCGAUCUGUUGAUGAUGAGAAUACAAUUUGAAGGGGGAUGCAAGUGAGAUUGUCAAUAUGCUCUUGGGAUUCAGGAAGGGCACACGCACUAUCCUCUCGCUCAUUCAACAAGCAAAGAAGCACGC